rnacentral:misc_RNA from 1 species
UUUUGCAGGUGGUGCAAUCAAACUGAUGUCUGAAGCACACAGUAGCUGACAACUGCAUUGAAACUACCAUUAGUUUUGACUAUGAAGGCUCUAUUGCGCUUUUCAUUUUUAAGUAUCGCCUUGCAGAACCUGUGGUCUGGAAAUUUCCCCGGGAUGAAUGUUUACGCCAGUAAUUGCGAGCAUGACAGCAAGUCUUUUACAGAAAAGCUGAUGGAACUUCAUAACUCAUCAAUCAGAAACUAGGUUAUGUAUGCUACAUAAGUGCCAAAUAUUACCGUUUCCCAUACUGCUUUUACAUUCAUCAAUAUGUGCACUUUUUAUAUGUUCCUGCAGUUGUUACUUCG